rnacentral:rRNA from 1 species
GACGAGCUACACAAACGUUAUUCGGAAUUACUGGGCUUAAAGGGUGCGUAGGCUGCGCGGAAAGUUGGGUGUGAAAUCCCUCGGCUCAACCGAGGAACUGCGCCCAAAACUACCGUGCUCGAGGAAGAUAGAGGUGAGCGGAACUUACGGUGGAGCGGUGAAAUGCGUUGAUAUCGUAAGGAACACCCGUGGCGAAAGCGGCUCACUGGGUCUUUCUGACGCUGAUGCACGAAAGCUAGGGGAGCAAACGGG